AUUUAGCUGACGAGUCCCAAAUACGACGAGAUACGUGUCGUGGAU
rnacentral:hammerhead_ribozyme from 1 species